CUGGUCCUUUAAAGUGGGCCUGACUGCCAGCUCUUGCAAGUUGGUUGACUGCUUCGGCACACUCCCAAGUCAGUAGUGACGUGAACUGCGGCCCUUGGAGAGCUUUAAUAGCAGCUUGGCUAUCUGUUGGGAUGAAUUUUUCCUUCUGCAUACUCUGAAGUUCUUUUGAGAGAUGCCACACACUGAUGGAUUGCAUAUAUCUCAGCUUGAGAUACCUUUACAAAACCGCCUAGUGGGUAACUAUACUCUCUCUUGCUAUGGUUGUGCAGAAUCAGCACCCCUGCACCUGCUGACUCCUUUAUAAGGGAUCCAUCUGUAAAGCAGUAGAAAUAAUUUGGAGACAGGUCCACCAUAGAGAAAUUACUCCAGGCUGACCUAUCUUCAAUCUCUGUCUUAAAACUUGGUUCAAAAUUGUGUUUUUUCACCAUUCUAUCUCCAGGGCAGUAUGAUAGUACUUACUGUAAAUCAUAGUCUACAUAGUCUUUGAGCUGAACUUUAUCGAAGAUCAUAUUUGCAAAUUGUGAUAAGUAUUCAUAAUGACCACUUGGUGUAUUGAAAGCCAUCUUCCAGUCGUCGCCUUCUCUUAUUCAAACCAAAUGGUAAGCAUUUCGUAAAUCUAACUUUGUGAAAAUCUUAGCCCCCUGAAUAAGGUCAAAUGCUGUACUCAUUAGAGGAAGCGGGUAUUUGUUUUUGAUUGUGAUUUCAUUUAAUCCACUAUAGUCAAUACAUGGACGCAAGGACCCGUCCUUCUUGCCAACAAA